GUGCAAGUGUCUGUUGGGGUUGGUUCAUUGCCCACCAGGUGGCGUCUGCAUGGAUCUGAAUGAGGUCUUCCCCCUUAGAACUUUGUGCUGACCAAUAAUGAUGCUGUGUUCAUUCCCAGGGGAACCCAAGUCUGUGAAGGAAAUCAGAUGAGCCCUUGAGAGGGAGGGUGACUUUAAAGACACCUCUGGAUCUCAGGCAGCUGACCUUGAUGCCUGGACAGAAGAGGCCUUUCCUGCCCAACCACCAACUGAGAUUGAAGAUGCUGCAGUAGGAACUGGUAUGCUAGAAGACAAGGAUGACAAGGAUAACAAAAAACAAAGACGGAUGACAGCAUGUCAUCCUGAAGAGACAACACGAUGGUGACGUCAAUCCCAUGGCCACGUUAUCCUGCUGCCCUCCAGCUGCUCCAACUCUAAGAAGUUUCUUCAAAUAUUACAUCUUGACAAUGCCAAUGCAAAGAGGAAGAGAAGCAAUAGCAUUCUGGGCCCACAAGGGGUGCAUUGGAGACAGGCGAGUGGCAAGUGGCUGCUGGCAUUCUAAGGAUGUAGGCAUACAUACCUUUCAAAGUCAUAAAUGUGAAAGAAAAAGAUGUCUGAUGGA